rnacentral:miRNA from 1 species
AAGUGUUGGAGUGUGAUGUGACU